rnacentral:lncRNA from 1 species
GACUUGAAGAGAACUGAUUCACUGCUGGGCAGAAUUCGUGUGUGUGAAGAAGGAAGGAGCAAAGCAAGAGGAUUUACUGUGAUGCAGAGCAGCCACCCCACUUCUAUGUUAACAAGGUUACUUGUGUGAAUAUCACUCGGCUGCUGCAUUUCUUUCUUCACUAGACCAAGUUUUAAUUGGAACUCUGCCACAG